GCAAAAAGUAAAUCAUUCAAUAAAAUAAUAGAAAACAGUCUCAUACAAUCCCUACAGACAAAAUAAAUCCACCAAGCUCAAUGUAUAAUCCCGCUAUCCUUCUACCACCAAGAACACCAAUCGAUCAAACAAAACAACAAGUGGCAGCAUCAGUCGAGACAAUAUGUAACAAUGUGACCUCAUUCGAACUAAAUCAGCAUGUUGAACAAUCCGAACAUCAUAGCAGCAACCAGCACCAACCCACCAGCUACAUUCUUCUCAACACCACUCGCUUCGUCAUUGGCGGUGGCGGUGGGCGACGGACCUUCAGAUCCGGCCGGUGAGGGGGUGGCCGGAGCCGGCGGGCUAGCGGUGGAGGGAGCGGGGGCGCCAGCCUUUGUCUUCUUCUUCUUCUUUCCCUUGCUUGCUGCCGGGGCCGGGACGUCAGCAGGCUUCGACGGGGCGGUGGCGGGGGUUACGGUGGCAGCCAACGGCGCCGGCACUGGUGGAGAUACUGUCGGUGCCGGCACGGGCGGGGAGUUGACGGGGGCAGGGGAUGGAGGAGAGGACACCGGUGCAGCGGUUGGCGUGGGCAGGACAACCGGGGUAACAGCAGGUGGAGUGGAGACUGGGGCAACCGGUGAGGUGGGGGCAGCGGCCGGGGCGGGGGUGGUGGUUUUCGCUGGGGCGGCAGCCGGGGUGGGAGUCGUGGUUUUCACAGGGGCGGCGGCAGGGGCAGGGGUGGUGGGUUUCGUGGGGGCGGCGGGGGCAGGGGUGGUGAGUUUCGUGGGGGCGGCGGCCGGGGCGGUGGUGGCGACGGGUGGGGCGGGGGUGGUGGUGGCGACUGGUGGAGCGGCAGUGGCUGGAGUGGUGGUCGGGGCGGCUGCAGGGCCCUGAGCGGAGCUGGUGGCGGCGGCUAAGACCAGCAAUGCUACACAGAGCAAAAUGCACCGCGCCAUUGUUUGGUUGAGAAAGAUGUGAAGAAUUUUUUUAACCGAUAAUGGGAGAUAUUGUGAGAUGAGGGAGGAGUG
rnacentral:misc_RNA from 1 species